GAUGAACGCUAGCGAUAGGCUUAACACAUGCAAGUCGAGGGGCAGCGAGGGUAGCAAUACCUGUCGGCGACCGGCGCACGGGUGAGUAACGCGUAUGUAACCUGCCCGCAACAGGGGGAUAACCCGGCGAAAGUCGGACUAAUACCGCAUAAAACAGGGGUCCCGCAUGGGAAUAUUUGUUAAAGAUUUAUCGGUUGCGGAUGGGCAUGCGUACCAUUAGGUAGUUGGUGAGGUAACGGCUCACCAAGCCCUCGAUGGUUAGGGGUUCUGAGAGGAAGGUCCCCCACACUGGUACUGAGACACGGACCAGACUCCUACGGGAGGCAGCAGUGAGGAAUAUUGGUCAAUGGGCGAGAGCCUGAACCAGCCAAGUCGCGUGAAGGAUGACUGCCCUAUGGGUUGUAAACUUCUUUUACAAAGGGAAUAAAAUGAAGAUACGUGUAAUUUAAUUG
rnacentral:rRNA from 1 species